UACGUAGGGGGCAAGCGUUGUCCGGAAUCAUUGGGCGUAAAGCGCGUGUAGGCGGUCCGGUAAGUCCGCUGUGAAAGUCGGGGGCUCAACCCUCGGAUGCCGGUGGAUACUGUCGGGCUUGAGUACGGAAGAGGCGAGUGGAAUUCCUGGUGUAGCGGUGAAAUGCGCAGAUAUCAGGAGGAACACCAGCGGCGAAGGCGGCGCUCUGGGCCGGUACUGACACUGAGGAGCGAAAGCGUGGGUAGCAAACAGG
rnacentral:rRNA from 1 species